rnacentral:rRNA from 1 species
UACGUAGGGUGCGAGCGUUAAUCGGAAUUACUGGGCGUAAAGCGUGCGCAGGCGGUUUUGUAAGACCGGGGUGAAAUCCCCGGGCUUAACCUUGGAACUGCCUUUGUGACUGCAAGGCUAGAGUACGGCAGAGGGGGAUGGAAUUCCGCGUGUAGCAGUGAAAUGCGUAGAGAUGCGGAGGAACACCGAUGGCGAAGGCAGUCCCCUGGGCCUGUACUGACGCUCAUGCACGAAAGCGUGGGGAGCAAACAGG